UGUUUUAUGAGCUGUAUCUACUGCGCUGUUUUAACAGCAGCCAUCCAAAUUACCAUUUCGUGGAUCAGCAACCUUCGUUCAGAGACGUCAGAUUGGAUCUUUUUGAUUUGGAGCGAGAAAUCAGCACUGCAAAAGGGAGACUCAAAAUCAACAUCAUAUCAGGCAAGUCUUACCAACAUUUACGAGGAUAGGUGGCGGAAGCCAUAGAGUUCUGGCCAAGAUAUAUUCAUUUACAGUAAUUAUGUCAUGGUUCUGGCUACAAUUAACCUUCCACGACAGACCAGAAUAGUUCUGGCGUAACUUCUUUCCGGCUGAUGCCGGAUUCAAUUGGACAAUGAGUGAUGCCAACUUACUAGAUGUAUGCUCCGCUUGUAUCCAGAACUCUCUAGACGGACCCAACCCUUGUUCCAAAGUUAUUUGAUCUGGAUAGUUAACAGUUCCAGAACAGAGAACGAAUAAUGUGACACAACACGCUGUUACAACAACAACAGCCAAAACACCGUUGGAGAGGCCAGGUGGAAAAGGAUAUUUUGAAACUAGGUGUCAGCAAUUGGAGAAGAAUCGCCGAAAAUCGAGGCGCUUGGUGUUCUAUGUUGAUAAAGAAAGCCAUACUCGCAUGCGGGGAUAAAUAGAAUAUCAUUGGCUUAGAAUCCACCACAGCGCUGUUAUUUGCGCAUUUAUUACCUUUCAUAUUUUUCAAACCAAUUGAUACAUGUAUGUCGCUUGAAUACAUCGUUCACUAUUAAAAAAUUUGUCUAUCAUAAAUAAACGUACUAAACGAAGCAUCAGACCGACACAAAGAGAAGGUGGAGCACUAUAGUCUAGAUUGACCAAAAGAACAAAUAAUUGGGUCUAAUUGAAUUUUUUGUGGAACAUUUUUGAAAAAUUUUCAAAGUAUAAAAAUUGUCUUCAUCAGAAGAGAUCAGAAUUUUGUGAAUAGCGACCAACUUUGGGAAUAUUUGGAUCAGAAUCCAGAGAAGAUUUGCCGUAAAAUUUUCAAUCAAAAAUGUAAAGCAAAUAUAUAUUUUAUGGAUGAAUUAA